rnacentral:rRNA from 1 species
UACAGAGGUCUCAACCGUUGUUCGGAUUCAUUGGGCGUAAAGGGUGCGUAGGCGGUCGGGUAAGUCGGAUGUGAAAUCUCAGGGCUCAACCCUGAAACUGCAUUCGAUACUGCUUGGCUAGGGUACUGGAGAGGAGACUGGAAUUUACGGUGUAGCAGUGAAAUGCGUAGAUAUCGUAAGGAAGACCAGUGGCGAAGGCGAGUCUCUGGACAGUUACCGACGCUGAGGCACGAAGGUCAGGGGAGCAAACAGG